AAGGUACUCCCUCCAUUUCGAAUUACUUGUCGCGGGUAUGGAUGUAUCUAGAUGUAAUUACAUCUAGAUUACAUCUAGAUACAUCCAUACCCGCGACAAGUAAUUCGGAACGGAGAUAGUACAAG
rfam:Triticum aestivum genome assembly, contig: Triticum_aestivum_CS42_TGACv1_scaffold_196344_3AL